rnacentral:piRNA from 1 species
UCAUAUGUCUUCAGCUUGGUGUAGCUACA